rnacentral:rRNA from 1 species
UACCGAGGUCUCAAGCGUUGUUCGGAUUCAUUGGGCGUAAAGGGUGCGUAGGCGGCGCGGUAAGUCGGGUGUGAAAUCUUGGAGCUUAACUCCGAAACUGCAUUCGAUACUGCCGUGCUUGAGGACUGGAGAGGAGACUGGAAUUUACGGUGUAGCGGUGAAAUGCGUAGAUAUCGUCUGGAACGCCAAAGGUGAAAACAGACUGCUGGGAGUGUGCUGACGCUGAGACACGAAAGCCAGGGGAGCAAACGGG